rnacentral:misc_RNA from 1 species
UAUAAAACAGUGCUACAUACUGUUACCGCCGACAUGAGAUGUGGUUUGGAGCUUAGCCUAAACAUGACUACGUACGAUUAGAUGUUUGUUGCCUAUUUUUAAAUGUUACAGCUGUGACCACUAGCGACCAACUUCACGUGUAACAUAGCGUGGCCAGAGGUGCGAAGAGUGUGUGCUGCCUGCCUGAGCUACGUUGAGUACUGCUGCGCGUGACAUACUCAGCUGAGCAUCGCACCGUACAGCCUGCUGAUGAGCGGUGAAUUGCUUGGCCUGUGCUGCAUUGCUGGGCCUGUGCUGCAGUGCUGGGCAGAGAAGAGUGAGCUGCGUGUGACGCUUCGCAGAGGGAUUAAUAUUUUUGCCCCGACAUUGUGGCAAUUGUUCGCCCCGACAUUGUGGCGUUUGAUAGCCCCGACAUUGUGGCUAUAGUUUGCCCCGACCUUGUGGCAAUUGUUCGCCCCGACAUUGUGGCGUUUGUUAGCCCCGACAUUGUGGCUAUAGUUUGUGAAUACGAGUUGUAGCUACCUAUUUUAAUCUGAUCACUUGAAAUGCACACUUGUGAUCAUUUUACAAUGGGUAGUUGUCAAUGACAACAAAGUAUGAAACAACAAUCAAAAGAUUUCUUUUGCUUUAGAUGACGGUGGUUUGACUGGGGUUAAAGGAAGAUGAAGCCCGAGGAACUCCUGCUGAAGAGGAGCAGAGCCAAGCCGAGGGGAGUUAAGCUGACGAGGACGUUCAGCUGUCAGGAGAGGCCGUGUUAGAAACUUUCCCACGACCCGGCUCAGUGACGUCGUGCAACGGAGCGCGGAGAGCGAGGCAAUAACGCCGCGUGCGCCACGUCGCAUCAUGCGGUAGCAUCGCUCUCUUUGCUUCGAGCUCGCGGCAGCGACGGACGUACUCUCUAGUGCUAAUAAGACGCGUACUUGUACUUGUGUUGAUAAACAUUUAGUUGAUGUAAAUGAAUAAAUCUUGUAAGGUUACUCCGUGUCUU